CAAAGAACUACAGGCAACUCAGUAAAGCUGGGAGCAGGAGAGGUGGUCCUCCCCAGGGAAGAGAACAUCAAUUGAUCAUUAGGCACAGUUCAGUCCCUAAUGAUCAGCUCUGAUAACAUACCUGCAAGCAACAUUACAUGGACUGAGCAGGUUAUAGUCUGGCAUAUGUGUAUACAUACACACAUAUAUAUGCAUAUAAUAACAGUGAAAAAGAAGAGGCUGUGAAUUUGAAGGAGAGCAGCAAGCGGGUAUGUAGAAGAGUUUGAAAGGAGGAAAGUACACAAAGAAGGAAAAAGAAGAUAAUAGACUGAAACAAGAGAGUGCCAGCGACCUCACAGGCUAGCUAGUCUGACCUAUGCAGAGGCAAAGAACAAGGAAGGAGAAAGUGACCCUAUUUCAAAUACUAUGUAAGAUGAGGCCAAAACCUAAGGUCUCCUUCUAUCUGUCACACUCAUACCAUGGCACACAUGUACUUGUAACUGCCACAGCACCCAUCCAGAGUCCAACUGUAACAGUCAGUUAAUAAACAUGGACAACACACAUCCCUUUUUUGUUACACAGCUAAGAAUAAAUGCUUCAAAUUCAAUAGCCACCAGUCCUUCAUAAAUGUGACUAGAAAGGAAAAAAUAUAGUUGAGAAAAAUAUUUACACAACAAUCACACUUCCUAAAAUACCAAAGUCUCUAGAAAUCAACACUGCUCAAUUCUAUUCUAAAGAGUCAGUGUGACUAGGAUCUGAGUAGGGUAGGAUCAGAUUGCGGGCCAGCCAUAUAUUAUUAAAUCCUAGUUAGGUUGUGAAAUUCCUUGAGAUAGCUAUGUCAAUCUUAACAAACCAAAGAUACAGGAAGAUAUAUGAGAGUAGCAAGUCUCUAUAUGGAUAGAGACACACUGUGGAUGUCAGAUACUCAUUUCCAGAAUUCUCUCCUGUAUAUGUGGAGCCAUACUGGCUGGAAUAUUGUCUAAAUCUGAUGUGUAUAAAUUUAGAAAUCCAUGUAAGAAUUUCAAGAAACCAAACCUCCAGAAAUAUUGAAAAAGUAAUGCUGAAUAUUAAACAUAUAUGAUAAAGGUUGCAAAUUUUAAAAUCAGACAGAGGUAUAAAAAGUCUCUAUAUACAGAAGCAAAAACGGGAGGAUAACAAUGUUUUUCUCGGAAGCAAUACACAAAGAAUCACAUUGUAGUAAAAUCUUUAGUGUGAAAAAACAAAAACAUUGUCAAUCUGUAAUGUGCCAACUGAAAAUAUUUCUCAAAAUUAAAAACAGACUUAAGCCAUAAAAAAUAAAAACACCCGCCAUCAGAAAAUUGAUGAUCUAAGCAAUGCUAAAGGAAGAAUUUGAAGUAGAAGGAAAAUAGUACUAGAAGAAAACCUGAAUAUAAUCACAAAUAGAUAAAUGACUUAAUUAGUAAAACAAUAAUGCUAGUCAUGCUAAGGUGAUAUAUGCACACAUGUAUGAGCAUAUACACUAAAUUGACAAUUACAAUUAUCAUUAAAAUUGUUUAAAUCUCCUUAUAUGGUAGAACAUUUAGAAAAUAGUUAAAACACAAUAUGCUUUUAAGAUAGGAACAAAAUGCAAGCUGGAAGGAGAAACAGAAGUUAUACUAUACAUGAAGUGAAAUAGAUUUCAGGUAGAUUCUAAUUAAUUAGAGCUAAUAAAUCAACAAAGUAGCUAAAACAUUGCAAAAAUGCUUGGUUAAUCUAAACAAAUGCAAACAAAAAUCAAAAUAAAAGGAAAGCAAAAGGAUCAAUUUAAGGCUAAGUAUAUACUAUUUUCUUUCAAAAUCAGCCACUUCUUUAUUGGCAUUAAUCACACCAAGUAAGAACAGUCUAAAUGAUCCAAGUAAAAGGGAGUCAGUCAAGGCUGGAUAAAGAAAAGCAAGACAUAAGUUGAUACUACUUAUAAAAUGUUCAUCUCACAUAUAGCAAUAAUAAAUAAAUAACUUAAUCUCUAAAAUGAUGGAAAUAGGAACACAUUAAUACCAUCAAUCCAAUAAAAACUGAAGUGCUUAAUGUUUAAAAGUGGAUCAGAUGUACUGUCUUCACAAUAAUCACUUAAUAUGUCAACAAGCAAGAGGGCAGUUUUGAAAGUAGGCAGUUGCCAAGGCUUACAAAGUUCUAGCAAUUUACUGAAAGCAAAUUAAAUUAAAAGUGUCAGUAUAUUCUUGCAUGUGUUCUUUGCAUGGCCAAUUACAAGUUACUUAAAUUCAAGCAGGUCACAAAUUUUCGGAUAAUUUAAUCAGCAGGAUCUUCCAGGCCAGUUCUGCCUCCCACUGAUGCCAUGUGGUCAUAUUAUUCAUUAUAUUUCAGCUAAGUGGCUCUUUGCAUGCAAACACAGUUAAUACAGCAGUGUAAAAAAAAGAAAACAGCAGUGUAGAAUUUAAAUACUGAAAAAUUAAAGGUCAGAGGAUCCAGGGGAGAAAACAGUAUGUUCUAAGUUUGAAACAAAAUUUCUAGCAGCAUUCUAUAAUCUCCUUAGAUGUAUUAAAUAAUUUAGCUUUUGGCAUUAAUAUAAUAAAUAUUAGUAUUUGUUGUCUGAACAAUUGAAAUGUGAUAGGACAUUAACAAUUAAUCAUGGAAACAAAGUAUGUUUGCAGAAGUAUAUAGGUCUUUUGGGAUGCUCAAAGUACUUUUUUGUUAAAUGUUUGAAGGGAAAGUUAGUGUUCAACUGUCACGGAUUUUAUCAACUUCCAGGUCAUAUCAAUUCGUCUCAGUCUUUUGUAACACGCUGGAACUAAUGUAUAACACUGAUGGAGGGCAAAUUAAAGUUUCUCAUGAUAUGUCUUAAAGGAAA
rnacentral:sRNA from 1 species